GUCCACGCCGUAAACGAUGGAUGCUAGUUGUCAGGCAGCAUGCUGUUUGGUGACGCAGCUAACGCAUUAAGCAUCCCGCCUGGGGAGUACGGCCGCAAGGUUAAAACUCAAAGAAAUUGACGGGGGCCCGCACAAGCGGUGGAGCAUGUGGUUUAAUUCGAAGCAACGCGCAGAACCUUACCUACCCUUGACAUCCCGAUCGCGGAUUACAGAGAUGUUUUCCUUCAGUUAGGCUGGAUCGGU
rnacentral:rRNA from 1 species